CAAAAUGAAUUUUAUUUAAUAUUGAAUGGGUUAAACGAAUUAAUUUUAAUUAAUUCAGAAAUGAAUGGCAAUUAGCUUUGACCUAUAAAAAUGUAGAAUUAAAUUCAGUUCCAUUGCAUGUUUAAAUUAAAAGUAUAGUUUUCAGUUAGACAUCUAUUAAAGAUCUGGCUUAGACUGAUAUAAGGGCUGUCCUGAACUUACUGUGGGGUAUGAGUUAUUGGUCUGUGAAAAAGACUUCAACGUGACAUUGAGAUUGGAGAACAACAAUAAAACCACUGUUCCUUUCCUUGUGAAUUUUUCAGGUGUGUCAAAGAAAGAAAUGUGUCAUAAAUUUAUACACCAUACCUCUUCUUUUCCAUGGAAACUGGAAAUUGUUUCCUUUAAUGUGUUGCUUAUACAUUUGUAUGUGUAUUUUAUAAUAUGCAUGUGAUAAAAAACAAAAUAUAAUUAUGAAAACUUACUGGGAUGGAUGAUAAAAUAUUGUUUAUUAUACAUAUAUAUAUAUGUAUGAAACAGUAUGAUAGUAUCUACAAAUAACUUAUUAAAUAGGAAAAUGUGUGUUAUUAUGAAUGCUCUGUGUUUAGGUUACCAGGGAUUUCCAUGGAUGAAAAUUGAACGAUGGAGGAACUUUCAUCAUCACAAACCGUGUCUACGCUGUACAGUGUAGCAUGAUCGAAAGUAUUUCAUCCCUCCAUGUUAGGAAUGGUGAACAUGCUAAUUCAUUAGCUUAUUUAAAUUAUAUUUAUUAGAAUUUUCAUUAUAGAAGUAUCAAUAUUUUCAUUAAUUGCUGUUUGUAUCCAUUCAGAUGCCAAGCCUUUCGAGAACGACCUAAACCUGUCAUGAAAGUCCCAAAUGCAGUGUUCUUGCUAUUUUUGGGGAAAGACGGCUUCAAGCCGUCAAUCCCCUAUGGGGUUGACCAGAGUGACAUUCCCUCACAUCAUUCAUUUUGUUUUUAUAGUGUGGAAAACCCCCCAACAAAUCUUACUUAGAUUGAAGAGAAGGAGACCCAGAAAUGAAUAGUUUGACUUUAAACACUUUUUUACACAUUUCCCUUCUGUUUCUGACGAAAUUAUCGUAUCUUGAGCUCUCCUUUACACUAUUUACGUUUCUUUUACAAUCCGGAAAAAUCAGUAUGACGAGAUAUUCUAAAUAUAUCCAACCUACAUUGUAUUUUAUAGUGACGUCAUUCUUGGAAUGCCACACUAUGCAGAAGCAAGGAUAUCCUUCACUGGUUAUUUAAAUCAUUCUCAGAGAUCGUGCACUAAUUACAAAUUGGUAUUUGUUAAAUCUAAACAUAAUAUUGUUUGCUGUAGAUGAUUCAAACAUCAACAUGCAAUACUUUAAUUUGUAGGUCAGCAACUUUCAAAGUAAACAAAGAUCGUGGGGUUACAUGAGAAAGGGGAGAGAAACGAUUUUAUUGAUUUUUUUCUGUAAAAAUUCUGUUUUGAGAAUCUUCCUCCAAUUCAGGAGCACCUCAACUGAUGAGUAAUUAUACACUAAAAUAAAAGUUAAUGUAUUUAAACACUUAAAAUGUGACAUUUCAUUGGAUAAGUAGUCUUCUAUUAAAACUAAAUUUUUGUGUACCAACAUAAUCAUUGUAAUGGGAAAAAAAAAAUUUUAAAUUAAAAAUGUUGCAUUUUGUAGUUUCAACCUAUUAAUUCAUGAAAUUUACAAAUGUUUCAAAUUUAGGAUUUGGAAACAAGCUUCACACAGUUUACAUCAAUCAUAUUGGUUUUUUUUAUUAGUACCUUUUUCCCUGUGAAGAUAGUUGUAACUGGGAACUUUAUCAAUGGAAAUUUAAAACUGAAUAGAUUUUUCAGUCCACA
rnacentral:lncRNA from 1 species